rnacentral:rRNA from 1 species
AGAGAUUGAACAUAAGAGUUUGAUCCUGGCUCAGAUUGAACGCUGGCGGCAUGCUUUACACAUGCAAGUCGGACGGCAGCACAGGGAAGCUUGCUUCUCGGGUGGCGAGUGGCGAACGGGUGAGUAACAUAUCGGAACGUACCGGGUAGCGGGGGAUAACUGAUCGAAAGAUCAGCUAAUACCGCAUACGUCUUGAGAGGGAAAGCAGGGGACCUUCGGGCCUUGCGCUAUCCGAGCGGCCGAUAUCUGAUUAGCUGGUUGGCGGGGUAAAGGCCCACCAAGGCGACGAUCAGUAGCGGGUCUGAGAGGAUGAUCCGCCACACUGGGACUGAGACACGGCCCAGACUCCUACGGGAGGCAGCAGUGGGGAAUUUUGGACAAUGGGCGCAAGCCUGAUCCAGCCAUGCCGCGUGUCUGAAGAAGGCCUUCGGGUUGUAAAGGACUUUUGUCAGGGAAGAAAAGGCCGUUGCCAAUAUCUGCGGCCGAUGACGGUACCUGAAGAAUAAGCACCGGCUAACUACGUGCCAGCAGCCGCGGUAAUACGUAGGGUGCGAGCGUUAAUCGGAAUUACUGGGCGUAAAGCGGGCGCAGACGGUUACUUAAGCAGGAUGUGAAAUCCCCGGGCUCAACCCGGGAACUGCGUUCUGAACUGGGUGACUCGAGUGUGUCAGAGGGAGGUGGAAUUCCACGUGUAGCAGUGAAAUGCGUAGAGAUGUGGAGGAAUACCGAUGGCGAAGGCAGCCUCCUGGGAUAACACUGACGUUCAUGUCCGAAAGCGUGGGUAGCAAACAGGAUUAGAUACCCUGGUAGUCCACGCCCUAAACGAUGUCAAUUAGCUGUUGGGCAACUUGAUUGCUUGGUAGCGUAGCUAACGCGUGAAAUUGACCGCCUGGGGAGUACGGUCGCAAGAUUAAAACUCAAAGGAAUUGACGGGGACCCGCACAAGCGGUGGAUGAUGUGGAUUAAUUCGAUGCAACGCGAAGAACCUUACCUGGUUUUGACAUGUGCGGAAUCCUCCGGAGACGGAGGAGUGCCUUCGGGAGCCGUAACACAGGUGCUGCAUGGCUGUCGUCAGCUCGUGUCGUGAGAUGUUGGGUUAAGUCCCGCAACGAGCGCAACCCUUGUCAUUAGUUGCCAUCAUUCGGUUGGGCACUCUAAUGAGACUGCCGGUGACAAGCCGGAGGAAGGUGGGGAUGACGUCAAGUCCUCAUGGCCCUUAUGACCAGGGCUUCACACGUCAUACAAUGGUCGGUACAGAGGGUAGCCAAGCCGCGAGGCGGAGCCAAUCUCACAAAACCGAUCGUAGUCCGGAUUGCACUCUGCAACUCGAGUGCAUGAAGUCGGAAUCGCUAGUAAUCGCAGGUCAGCAUACUGCGGUGAAUACGUUCCCGGGUCUUGUACACACCGCCCGUCACACCAUGGGAGUGGGGGAUACCAGAAGUAGGUAGGGUAACCGCAAGGAGCCCGCUUACCACGGUAUGCUUCAUGACUGGGGUGAAGUCGUAACAAGGUAGCCGUAGGGGAACCUGCGGCUGGAUCACCUCCUUUCUA